rnacentral:rRNA from 1 species
UACGUAGGGUGCAAGCGUUAAUCGGAAUUACUGGGCGUAAAGCGUGCGCAGGCGGUUGUGCAAGACCGAUGUGAAAUCCCCGGGCUUAACCUGGGAAUGGCAUUGGAAACUGGCGAGCUGGAGUGUGGCAGAGGGGGGUGGAAUUCCGCGUGUAGCAGUGAAAUGCGUAGAGAUGCGGAGGAACACCGAUGGCGAAGGCAGCCCCCUGGGUUAACACUGACGCUCAGGCACGAAAGCGUGGGGAGCAAACAGG